rnacentral:rRNA from 1 species
UACGUAGGGGGCUAGCGUUGUCCGGAAUCAUUGGGCGUAAAGAGCUCGUAGGCGGCUCGUUGCGUCGGCUGUGAAAACCCGCAGCUCAACUGUGGGCUUGCAGCCGAUACGGGCGGGCUAGGAUUCGGUAGGGGAGACUGGAAUUCCUGGUGUAGCGGUGAAAUGCGCAGAUAUCAGGAGGAACACCAAUGGCGAAGGCAGCUCUCUGGGACGGUACUGACACUGAGACGCGAAAGCGUGGGGAGCGAACAGG